UACGUAGGGGUGCAAGCGUUAAUCGGAAUUACUGGGCGUAAAGCGUGCGCAGGCGGUUUUGUAAGUUUGUCGUGAAAGCCCCGGGCUCAACCUGGGAAUUGCGAUGAAGACUGCAAGGCUUGAAUCUGGCAGAGGGGGGUAGAAUUCCACGUGUAGCAGUGAAAUGCGUAGAGAUGUGGAGGAACACCGAUGGCGAAGGCAGCCCCCUGGGUCAAGAUUGACGCUCAUGCACGAAAGCGUGGGGAGCAAACAGG
rnacentral:rRNA from 1 species